rnacentral:rRNA from 1 species
UUCAGCAGCACCAUCGCCAACUUUUAGCCUGAUCUCAUUCGUUCUCAGAAGCUACGCAAAGGCUGGGCUUGUACAGUGCUGGGCUGGCAGACCUCCGUGGAAAAUCAGGUUGCUUUUGAAA